UGAUUAAGAACUAAAUAAACAUUAUUUUAUAAAAAAAAAAAAAUAUCAUGUAAUUCAAGCCCUGUGACAGCACUGACAAACUGCUAUACAGCUUGUAGGCUCUAUAUAAGCAUACAGGGCUUAUUUUAGUUCUUACUGUUUAUAGUGCCUAUAAGCAUUAGGAAUGCUUAAACAGAGCUUUUAAGCACUGAAUUUUUUUUAAUGACCAUUAUAAUGUUUAAAACAGUGCUUAGUGGUUACCUGGGACCCAAUAUGCACCCUCUUUGCCACCUACCACAGCACCAUGAUUGUAACAUAAUUCGGGCGGUGAAAGAAAAGUCCAAUAUGUCAUGUAAAUGAACUUGUUCGUACACUCUUGGUUUCGCAAAACCCGGAUUUCCGGGAACAUAUGCGCUCAUUCCAUAUAUGGUGUAAUUUUUCCUAGCACUAUCGGUAACGUGUACAAUUUUGAAACUAUAUCAUCCCGAAUGAUGCUAUAUUCUGUUCUAGCUUCAAUCGAAGGGUUCAUAAGGUCACUUAACCAGAGAAGGAUUUAUUCCUGAUUGAAAAAAGAAAACGUGAAUUCACAGUGUUAAGAUUGUGCGAGAUCUGGGGAAUCCCGCAUUUCUAAAUUAUAAAUCACUACCGUGCGCAAUACACUUCAGUCUUCAUCCACUGUUUUCAUUGUUCACACGCAAAACCAUAAGAGAUGGAUUCCCGAAGAAUUAUUAUAUUGGUUUUUGCAUUAUCAGUGGCGUAUUUACCAGCCUUGGGAAGACCUGUAGACCAUUCCUAUUAUUCGCGUAUUGAAAUUCUUCCUCCUCCUCAUUUAACCCGUAUAAAAGUACCAGAGAAAUCUGCAAGAAUUUCACCAACAACGGCGAAACCAGUUCAACGAAGUACUAUAGAAACAACCACGGAAUACAAAUAUAAAGAUAUCAUAGAAGCCUAUACCAUAGAAGUGCCCAAACUUGAACCGAUUCGACAUGCAGCUGGGACACUGUACUACACAGUGGACCCGCAGGAAGAUCCGUACAAAAAGUUGAUGCAAGUGUACCAGGAUAAUUUUGAAACACCUAUGAACAGAAAUUUUCCAAAAAAUGUUCGACCUCCUAAAUAUUGAUCGUUUAUCGCCUGCAUUUAAUUUUAGUGUGUUUUGAAAUAAAUGGAACUGUACAGCAUUACAUUCAAAUCAGUUUACAAUAUACUAAAAAUCAACGGAGAAAACAA